rnacentral:rRNA from 1 species
UACGUAGGGUCCGAGCGUUGUCCGGAUUUAUUGGGCGUAAAGAGCUCGUAGGCGGUUUCGUAAGUCGGAUGUGAAAACUCAGGGCUCAACCCGGAGACGCCAUCCGAUACUGCGAUGACUGGAGUCUGGUAGGGGAUCACGGAAUACCUGGUGUAGCGGUGAAAUGCGCAGAUAUCAGGUGGAACACCGAUGGCGAAGGCAGUGAUCUGGGCCAGUACUGACGCUGAGGAGCGAAAGCGUGGGGAGCAAAUAGG